rnacentral:rRNA from 1 species
GACGAACGCUGGCGGCGUGCUUAACACAUGCAAGUCGAGCGGUAAGGCCCUUUCGGGGGUACGACGAGCGGCGAACGGGUGAGUAACACGUGGGUGACCUGCCCUUAGCUCUGGGAUAAGCCUGGGAAACUAGGGUCUAAUACCGGAUAUGACUCCAUAACGCAUGUUGUGGGGUGGAAAGCCUUGUGCGGCUAGGGAUGGGCCCGCGGCCUAUCAGCUUGUUGGUGGGGUGAUGGCCACCAAGGCGACGACGGGUAGCCGGCCUGAGAGGGCGACCGGCCACACUGGGACUGAGACACGGCCCAGACUCCUACGGGAGGCAGCAGUGGGGAA